UUGCACGCUAGCGGGAUGCUUUACCCCUGCAAGUCGCACGGCAGCGCGGACUUCGGUCUGGCGGCGAGUGGCGAACGGGUGAGUAAUGUAUCGGAACGUGCCCAGUAGCGGGGGAUAACUACGCGAAAGCGUAGCUAAUACCGCAUACGCCCUACGGGGGAAAGCAGGGGAUCGUAAGACCUUGCACUAUUGGAGCGGCCGAUAUCGGAUUAGCUAGUUGGUGAGGUAACGGCUCACCAAGGCGACGAUCCGUAGCUGGUUUGAGAGGACGACCAGCCACACUGGGACUGAGACACGGCCCAGACUCCUACGGGAGGCAGCAGUGGGGAAUUUUGGACAAUGGGGGCAACCCUGAUCCAGCCAUCCCGCGUGUGCGAUGAAGGCCUUCGGGUUGUAAAGCACUUUUGGCAGGAAAGAAACGUCGCGGGCUAAUACCCCGUGGAACUGACGGUACCUGCAGAAUAAGCACCGGCUAACUACGUG
rnacentral:rRNA from 1 species